rnacentral:rRNA from 1 species
AACGAACGCUGGCGGCAGGCCUAACACAUGCAAGUCGAACGGGAUCUUCGGAUCUAGUGGCGGACGGGUGAGUAACGCGUGGGAACGUGCCCUUUGGUUCGGAAUAGCCCUGGGAAACUGGGAGUAAUACCGGAUGUGGUCGAGAGACGAAAGAUUUAUCGCCAAAGGAUCGGCCCGCGUUGGAUUAGGUAGUUGGUGGGGUAAUGGCCUACCAAGCCGACGAUCCAUAGCUGGUUUGAGAGGAUGAUCAGCCACACUGGGACUGAGACACGGCCCAGACUCCUACGGGAGGCAGCAGUGGGGAAUCUUAGACAAUGGGGGAAACCCUGAUCUAGCCAUGCCGCGUGAGCGAUGAAGGCCUUAGGGUUGUAAAGCUCUUUUGCCCGUGACGAUGAUGACGGUAACGGGAGAAUAAGCUCCGGCUAACUUCGUGCCAGCCGCCGCAGUAACAC